rnacentral:rRNA from 1 species
AUUGAACGCUGGCGGCAGGCCUAACACAUGCAAGUCGAACGCGUGGCGGACGGGUGAGUAAUGUCUCGGAAACUGCGCCAUGGAGGGGGAUAAAUACUGGAAACGGUGGCUAAUACAGCAUACCAUCGCAGGAGCCCAGAUGGGAUUAGCUAGUAGGUGGGGUAACGGCGCACCUAGGCGACGAUCCCUAGCUGGUCUGAGAGGAUGACCAGCCACACUGGAACUGAGACACGGUCCAGACUCCUACGGGAGGCAGCAGUGGGGAAUAUUGCACAAUGGGCGCAAGCCUGAUGCAGCCAUGCCGCGUGUAUGAAGAAGGCCUUCGGGUUGUAAAGUACUUUCAGCGAGGAGGCGUUACUCGCAGAAGAAGCACCGGCUAACUCCGUGCCAGCAGCCGCGGUAAUAC